AGUGUGGAUGGCGUGGAGUGGGAUGGUGAAGGAUGGGGCCAGAGGAAGGAAGGACAUGCCCACCCAGCCGUGUUUGGGAUGCUGCCUCUUCAUGACCUGGAGAGGGGUCAUGAAGCCUAGCAGGCAGUGGAGCCCAGCAGGACCUCCCCAGACUACAAGGGGCUUCUGAGCCACUGGGCUCCCCAGAGUGACGAGAGACCUGCUGUGUAGACCACUCCUGAAGGCACAAAAGCAACAGGUUUGCUGAGUGGUGCUGCCCGUGCCCCGUAAGGAGAGCGGUGUAUACUGUUUCCACAUGACAC
rnacentral:sRNA from 1 species